rfam:Ictidomys tridecemlineatus contig024204, whole genome shotgun sequence.
GGGGAUAUAGCUCAGCUGGUAGAGUGCUUAUCUUGCAUGCAUAAGGCCCUGGGUUCAAUCCCCAGCACCAUCA